rnacentral:rRNA from 1 species
UACGUAGGGUGCAAGCGUUUAAUCGGAAUUACUGGGCGUAAAAGCGUGCGCAGGCGGCUUUGCAAGACAGAUGUGAAAUCCCCGGGCUCAACCUGGGAACUGCAUUUUGUGACUGCAUGGCUGGAGUGCGGCAGAGGGGGGAUGGAAUUCCGCGUGUAGCAGUGAAAUGCGUAGAUAUGCGGAGGAACACCGAUGGCGAAGGCAAUCCCCUGGGCCUGCACUGACGCUCAUGCACGAAAGCGUGGGGAGCAAACAGG